GAUGAACGCUGGCGGCGUGCCUAAUACAUGCAAGUCGAGCGAACAGACGAGGAGCUUGCUCCUCUGACGUUAGCGGCGGACGGGUGAGUAACACGUGGAUAACCUACCUAUAAGACUGGGAUAACUUCGGGAAACCGGAGCUAAUACCGGAUAAUAUAUUGAACCGCAUGGUUCAAUAGUGAAAGACGGUUUUGCUGUCACUUAUAGAUGGAUCCGCGCCGCAUUAGCUAGUUGGUAAGGUAACGGCUUACCAAGGCAACGAUGCGUAGCCGACCUGAGAGGGUGAUCGGCCUCACUGGAACUGAGACACGGUCCAGACUCCUACGGGAGGCAGCAGUAGGGAAUCUUCCGCAAUGGGCGAAAGCCUGACGGAGCACCGCCGCGUGAGUGAUGAAGGUCUUCGGAUCGUAAAACUCUGUUAUUAGGGAAGAACAAAUGUGUAAGUAACUAUGCACGUCUUGACGGUACCUAAUCAGAAAGCCACGGCUAACUACGUG
rnacentral:rRNA from 1 species